rnacentral:rRNA from 2 species
UACAGAGGGUGCAAGCGUUAAUCGGAAUUACUGGGCGUAAAGCGCGCGUAGGUGGUUCGUCAAGUUGGAUGUGAAAUCCCCGGGCUCAACCUGGGAACUGCAUUCAAAACUGUCGAGCUAGAGUAUGGUAGAGGGUGGUGGAAUUUCCUGUGUAGCGGUGAAAUGCGUAGAUAUAGGAAGGAACACCAGUGGCGAAGGCGACCACCUGGACUGAUACUGACACUGAGGUGCGAAAGCGUUGGGAGCAAAC